CACCCAAUCGCCAUCCUCAUCAUGGGAGCCUGUCGCUGUCGCUGGUAGGAGUCGCCGCCGCUACUGUUGCGAAGCCACCGUCUCCGCUAGUUGCUCAGCCUUGUCUCUGUUUGUGGUUCCCCUUUUGUGUGCCGAAGUCGCUGCUGCCGUGAUGGUAGCCGUGGGGUUGCUAGUGCCUAAACAAAGCUGUUACUGCUGCUGCUCCAUUCCUCUGUUCUUUUCAAGUUUUAGGUUAUGUCAAUACCACUGCAAAUUAUUCGAUGGCAUUGCUAUUAUUGAUUCGGUUUAAAGCUGUUGCUGCUGCUGCUGCUAUGAGUUGGAAUGAAGUUAGAGUCACGCUUAAUUUUGUGGAUUUCGACUAGCUGAGUGACACAGGUCCGAAGACUCAGUUUGAAGUUGCGGACGAUUGUUGGACUAUAUUUAUGAGUUAAAUGUAUGAGUUAAUUUGCUUUCAUAGAAUUCCCUCGCACUUAUUGCUUAAGAUUUUUAUUUUAUACAGAAUGAUAGGGUUUGUAUUUGAGUUUUAUUUGAAAUCUUUUGUAUGACAGAUAUUACUAUUAAUAAUUAUGUGAUUAUUAUUACUUUGAAA